rnacentral:lncRNA from 1 species
UGUAGCAGGAAGCUCAUCCAUUGACAUAUCAGUUGAGCCACAUGACUGAGGCUCAAGAUUCAUCGCAGAUGUAAUUUCAGUAGGACUGUUGAGAUUGGAUGUAACAAAUGAAUGCAUCGAACUUGCAGAACACCACUCAAACCGCAGUAGCAUACCAUUCCUCAAACCAGAAAGAACAUAAUACCGAUCAACUAGUACAACUCUGACAUCUUGAGGAACACACCCACUAAUAGCAGUCCCCAUAGCAGUUGUUAAUGCAAUUGUA